UUUUUUUUUUUUUUUUUUGCCUUCUUUUCCAUCAAUGGCAUAUCAAGAGCUAGUCUGCCCUGGGUGCGGACCAUAGGGACAGCACACAGUAGAGAACUCCUAAACUAACAGCAAAUUGUCCAAAAGUCAAUCUGCUUCUUUUUCUUUACAUGUCCUGGCAGUCAUAAACAAGUUAGUGACGAAGCAGUCCCCACGGAGGCAGACCAAGAACCAGAAGCAGGGUCCUCCCCACCAAUUCGCUUUAGACCUUAUCUGCCCCUCCUUGACUCCACUACCUGCCUCUACUCCCCACCCCCACCCCGAGGUAACCUUGGUCAAGGGAAUUUUGUGUUUAUUGUCCCCAAGCAUGACUUCAUUUUGUUUUUAAAUUUUUGACUGUAUAUGUGCAUAUCUAUUUCCAGGGUGUUUUCAAAAUUAAGAUAUUACUUUAUUGUCUGUACAGAUAGGUUUUUUUCUUGCAUGUAACAUUAUGUUUCUGAAGUGUAUCCACAUCACUCCUUGAAGCUCCUAUUAGCUCCUCAAAAGCUCUCUGGACUCCGUGGUGAAUGAAUAUUCCACAAUCUAUUUCUCUACUUUCCUGUUGAGGUUAUUUAGGUUGUUUACAUUUUUUGUUGUUGUUAUUGCAAACUUUUCUGCUGUGGGUGAAAUCUGUCUCUUUGUGUCUUUGCACAAGAAGUUAAUUGGGGCAAGUCAUUAUGGAAUCAAUUUUGUGAGUACUACACAGUAUUUGAAAAGAUGAAAUAGUAUCACAGGGCAUUUCAAGCAUGUAUGGGCGUAUGCAUAUUCACAUACAUGUGGGCUGGGUGUUGUGAUGUAAAAAGUACUUUUCUGCAUCACAUGGAACAGUAUGAAAGCCAGAGCACCAGGGGAGCUACGUAAGCAGAAUUGCUAGUUUGGGGCAUGUAUAUUUUCAGCUUUAUUAAAUGCUGCUCAUCUCCAAAGUGACUGGACAAGUUUACCCCCUACUUUUCAAAUUGAUUUUAGACUUACUAGAUUUGAAAAAUUUUGGAACCGUCUAAUAAGUGUGAUGAUCUUUUCUAUUUUAUUUUAUUGUCUCUUUUUUUAGGGCCACACCCACGGCAUAUGGAGGUUCCCAGGCGAGGGGUCCAAUCAGAGCUACAGCUGCCGGCCUACACCACAGCCACAGUAAUGUGAGAUCUGAGCCGCGUCUGCGACCUACACCACAGCUCGUGGCAAUGCUGGAUCCUUAACCCACUGAGCAAGGCCAGGGAUUGAACCCACAUCCUCAGGAAUUCCAGUCAGAUUCGUUUCCACAGAGCCAUGAUGGGAAUGAUUUUAAUUUGCACCCCUUCUUUCCUAUUGGAUGUCUGCUUUCUUCUUACUUUUUAGAAAUACUAAUCAUUUAUUAUUUAGAUGUGCUAUAAAUAAUUUCUGCCAGUCUUUGGUUGGUCAUUAUCUUUCUCUAUAGUACGCUUUAUGGGGGCAGAGUGGUACAUUUUAACGUAGUCAAGUAUAUCAUGCUUUUCCUAUGGCGUGUAUUUAUUUGUAUCUUAAUAAAGCCUUUUCCUACUUUGAGGUCAUAAAAAUACUCUUAAAUUCUAAAAAUUGUAAAAUUAUACGUUUACAUGUAGUUUUAAAAAUGUAGCUGAAAUUGUUUUGUCUUUGACAUGAUGUAAGGAUCAAAUUUUGUUGCAUCUGUCUGCAUGGACAGGCAGUUGUCCCAGGAGUAGUCACUGUAUUUCUUGAUUUUCAGAUGCCCAGGCUGUCCCAUGUCAGUUUUCCUCACAAACAUGUGUGUCUGUUUCCAGCCUCUAUUAUGUUGCAUUGGCCCAUUCAUUCCUCCCUUUGCCAUCACACACUGUCUUAGUUACUGUACCUUCAUGUUAAUAUCUCAAGGGGUGAACCCCCUCUUUUGUUUCUCUUUCAAAUUGUCUUGACUUUUCUUUGGACUUUUGUUCUACCAUGAGAAUUUUAGGAUAAACUUUUUUUUUUAAUUCCUUGAAAAAUCCCCAUUGGAAUUUUGAUUGGGAUUGAAUUGAUUCUUGGAAUUGAGCUGAACUGAUUUGAUCAAUAUCAGGAAGGUUGCCGUUCUCUGUCAUAAUGGAAUUUUCCUCAUCAGGAAUCAUAAUCUUGACUUGCUGCUUCACUUAUUUAAAAAACUUCUGUUUUAGUUGUAUCAUUAAAACUUUUACACAUUUUUUUGUUCAAUUCAUUCUUGAGUACUCUACAGUUUUUUGCUCUUAUAAAUGGUAAAGAUAUACCUAAAAAAUGACAGUUCCUAAUUCUUUAUUGCUGGUGUGUAUGAUUGUGGUUGCACUUCAUAUAUUAAUCCUGUUUCCAGCAACCUUGCUGUUUCUUAUUAAAUAUAUCCAUAUCGACUGUACAGGUAUUUCAUUUAGUCUCCUUAUUCACAAAUUACGAAAGGCUUUCCCUUCCUUUCUCGUUAUCACAUCUUUUAUUUCUUUCUUUGCCUUUUAUGUGCUGUCUAGAAUGUCAUUGUCCAGUAGGUGAGACAUGUGUUAGAUUUAAAAGUUUCUGGAGAUCCUAUUGUGACUCAGCAGGUUAAGAACCCUACAUGGUGUUGGUGAGGAUGCGGGUUUGAUCCCUGGCCUUGCUCAGUGGGUUAAGGAUCUGGC
rnacentral:lncRNA from 1 species